rnacentral:tRNA from 1 species
AAUGGGAUGCCUGAAAAAAGGAUCAUCUUGAUAGGGUGAAAAAUGUAACUCAAAUUGCUCCCAUUA